UUGACAUACUUAUUCUAAUCAAUUCAAUUUAGGUGCCUACAGUUCAUGUAUGAUGAAUCUACUGGUUAGUGGUGACGACGCAGUCUUAACAUUGGAGUGAGCCAAUCUAAUCCAAGCAAAUGACGGUAAGAUGAUUUCGAUGAUGUCAAAACCGUUGGAGAGAUGGAUGCCUCAUCUACCCCUGGUUGGCUCACAAUACAUAUGAUUAUUCUGUUUGAUAUUUUUUCCUCCUCUUCAAUCAUUGUUGGUCUUCAGCUGUAUGAGAAUAGAGAGAGAGAGAGAGAGAUUGUGCUGACUGAAAUAGUGGUGACUGGAGAACUCAGAAAUACAAAUCUGUGCAACAUCUUAAAAUUCCUAGUUUGAUAGCCCUUACAACUCCCUCUGACACACACCGUUUAGGAUUAAAUCCUGAAAAGUAGCGAAUAGUAUUGCCGAUCAGGCCAGGACCAUGUAAAAGUGUAACAUUCCUUCUCCGAGAACAAAUGGAGUUAAUUCUGCCACAAAAGAAAAGAAUGAACUGAUGAACUCGUUCACACUACCCCUCGCUCUUCAACUGUUGGAGAAAACUUCCUUCUAUCGCUGCUCGCAACACAGCAGAACUUGGUUUAAUUCUGUGCGCUAAAAUUUUGCAAACGAGGCCUAAAAUACUGUUAUGUAGGAUAGACUGUUAUGUAGGAUAGACGGAAUCGUUUCAGUAAC